GGUGAACGCUGGCGGCGUGCCUAAUACAUGCAAGUCGAGCGAAUGGAUUAAGAGCUUGCUCUUAUGAAGUUAGCGGCGGACGGGUGAGUAACACGUGGGUAACCUGCCCAUAAGACUGGGAUAACUCCGGGAAACCGGGGCUAAUACCGGAUAACAUUUUGAACCGCAUGGUUCGUAAUUGAAAGGCGGCUUCGGCUGUCACUUAUGGAUGGACCAGCGUCGCAUUAGCUAGUUGGUGAGGUAACGGCUCACCAAGGCAACGAUGCGUAGCCGACCUGAGAGGGUGAUCGGCCACACUGGGACUGAGACACGGCCCAGACUCCUACGGGAGGCAGCAGUAGGGAAUCUUCCGCAAUGGACGAAAGUCUGACGGAGCAACGCCGCGUGAGUGAUGAAGGCUUUCGGGUCGUAAAACUCUGUUGUUAGGGAAGAACAAGUGCUAGUUGAAUAAGCUGGCACCUUGACGGUACCUAACCAGAAAGCCACGGCUAACUACGUGCCAGCCGCCGCAGUAA
rnacentral:rRNA from 1 species